rnacentral:misc_RNA from 1 species
CGAAGACCCAUCUCAGAGCAGUCAUCAUCUCCCUGCCCACAAGUUCUCCACAGUGCUAAGAGCUUUAACCUUCUUCUUCAGCUUCAGAUCAAUUUCCCCUGUGCCACAUCCGUAAACCAACUACCCAUACCAUUGACGCAACAUGUCCGCAAGCUCCUCACCAUUUCCCUCAUCGAUGUCGCCAUAACCACCCUUUCUUCCCUUUCAAUUCCUUUUUCAUCAUGCUAAAUUGCUUAACCCAUUUUCUUCGACUGUCCUCCUAAUCAAGCCUCAAAAUACUUGGCGUCGAGUACUUAUGUGUUACGAGUAUUGUGGAUUCCACAAACUUGUUCCUUGUAGCACAAAAGUUAUAUUUGCACGCUACUUGAUUUGUUUGCUAGAAAUUAGUAAUGAAAGGUUUAAUUAGGUGGAUGAUUUUGAUGAGCAAGGGAGUUAAGGAAGCAGGAGCAGAGGAG